rnacentral:misc_RNA from 1 species
GAUGAAGAACGUAGCGAAAUGCGAUAAGUAAUGCGAAUUGCAGAAUCCGUGAGUCAUCGAAUCUUUGAACGCACAUUGCGCCCAUUAGUAUUCUAGUGGGCAUGCCUGUUCGAGCGUCAUUAAGUCCACUUAAGCCCUGCUUAGUGUUGGGAGACUGCUCCAGCGGUGCUACCCUGUAGCUACCCUGCAGCUCCUCAAAGACAGCGGCGGAGUUGUGGUAUCCUCUGAGCUUAGUAACUUGUUCUAGCUUUCGAGUACACCACUUCCCCUGCCGUAAAACCCUUAAUUUUUAAUGGUUGACCUCGGAUCAGGUAGGAAUACCCGCUGAACUUAAGCAUAUCAAUAAGCGGAGGA